CUUAGUUGCAGUAUGUGGGAUAUAGUUCCCCAACCAGGGAUCGAACCUGGGCCCCCUGCAUUGAGAGCGUGGAGUCUUAGCCAUUGGACCACCAGGGAAGUCCCCAGAUACAACUUUUAAAGAGAUGGAGCAAAUAUAUGAAAUCUCUUGGUGGAGUUUCUACCCCUACAUCAAGAUCCACUUCUGUCCUGGCCACCGAAGCAGCCCUUGACACCCAGUCCAGCUCUGCCUUCCUUCAGGUUGGGGAAGAGCUAACUGGGCAUCUCUCCAGGUGCCGGCAGAGCAGCUCAGGCAAUCAAAGUGCUAAGGUACCCGAGUUGCCAAGCUUUGAAGAGGCAGUUUGUUGGGGGCAGGGUUGGGGGGUGGGGAUGGGGGAUGAAGCUGGUGAUGGAACUUCUCAAGGGAGCUGCCUGCCCAGAUUUCCCUCUUGAAUGUUUCUAGCUAACAGGUGGUCCCUCCACUGGAAGUAAAUUCCUGGGUAUUUUUACCCAACACCUCAUAAACAAAAUGGCAAUGCUAUUGGCUAUGUCAUACAACCAGGCGUAUUGAAUCAUGUCCCCAUUCAUCAAUUUGCCAAACAAAGCAGGUUGCUAUCUGAGCUUGUUUGGAGAGAGGCUAACUAUGGGAAGGAAGAAAAACUCAGGCAUCUGCCUACACGUACACUGUCAAGAUUUAAAUGAUAGAUGUGCUCAGUGGUAUCCAACUCUUUGUGACCCCAUGAACUACAGCCCACCAAGUUCCUCUGUCCAUGGGAUUUUCCAGGCAAGAAUACUGGAGUGGGUUGCCAUUUCCUUCUCUAGGGAAAUGAUACAUACAGGAUGACUUGGUGCAUUUUUAAGUGACCCUUUCCCUACAUAAGACUGCACUGGCAGCAUGGUUGACACUCUAGUCAUUGUUAUGAGAACCGCACUAUAAUGCCUCGGGGAGGCCUGUUGCACUGGAACUGAGGUAGGGAGGAGAUGGAACCCAAGAGAGAUGCAGAAUGUAUCCAGAGGAUAACUGAUUUAUUUUUUUUUAAAGGCAUUUUAUUUUUUAAAGUCUUUAUUGAAUUUGUUAAAAUACUGCUUCUGUUUUAUAUUUCAGUGUUUCUUUUGGCAUGUGGAAUCUUAGCUCCCUGACCAGGGAUCGCACUCGUAUCCCCUGCAUUGGAAGGUUAAAGUUUUAACCACUGGACCAUCCAUGUUUUAUAAAUCCAUCCAUUCAUUUAAAAACACAUUGAGCAGCUCUCAUUAGGCCUUGUGCUGUAUGCUAGACACACCAAGAUUCACGAGGCUUACACGCUGAUGGGGGAUUCUCUAUGUAUGUGCAGGAUAGUGUGUUAAGUGUGAUAAUAAAGGUACACAUAAAAUAUAGAGGGGAUCUAGG
rnacentral:lncRNA from 1 species